UUAAGUUCAGCGGGUAUUCCUACCUGAUCCGAGGUCAACAUUUCAGAAGUUGGGUGUUUAACGGCUGUGGACGCGCCGCGCUCCCGAUGCGAGUGUGCAAACUACUGCGCAGGAGAGGCUGCGGCGAGACCGCCACUGUAUUUCGGAGACGGCCACCCCGCUAAGGGAGGGCCGAUCCCCAACGCCGACCCCCCGGAGGG
rnacentral:misc_RNA from 1 species